UUUACAACGGAGAGUUUGAUCCUGGCUCAGGAUGAACGCUAGCGGCAGGCUUAAUACAUGCAAGUCGAACGGUAACAGGUGUAGCAAUACAUGCUGACGAGUGGCAGACGGGUGAGGAACACGUACACAACUUCCCUCUUACUGGGGCACAACUCCGAGAAAUCGGGGCUAAUUCCCCAUAAUAUUUUGGAUAGGCAUCUUUUCAAAAUUAAAACUCAGGUGGUAAGAGAUGGGUGUGCGUCUGAUUAGCUAGUUGGUGAGGUAACGGCCCACCAAGGCAACGAUCAGUAACUGGUGUGAGAGCACGACCAGUCACACGGGCACUGAGAUACGGGCCCGACUCCUACGGGAGGCAGCAGUAAGGAAUAUUGGUCAAUGGACGCAAGUCUGAACCAGC
rnacentral:rRNA from 1 species